ACACCAUUAACUCAGCGGUAGAGUAGCGGGCUUUUAACCCAUUAGCGGAGGUUCAAUUCCUCUAUGGUGUA
rnacentral:tRNA from 1 species